rnacentral:rRNA from 1 species
UACGGAGGGGGCAAGCGUUAUUCGGAAUUAUUGGGCGUAAAGGGCGCGUAGGCGGCUAGAUGUGUCAAAGGUGAAAUCCCACGGCUCACCCGUGGAACUGCUUGGUAUACUGGGUGUCUUGAGCCACUUAGGGGCUACCGGAACAAAUGGUGGAGCGGUGAAAUGCGUAGAUAUUAGGAAGAACACCAGUGGCGAAGGCGGCUCACUGGACUGGUACUGACGCUGAGGCGCGAAAGCGUGGGGAGCAAACAGG